rnacentral:rRNA from 1 species
UUUGAGAGUUUGAUCCUGGCUCAGGAUGAACGCUGGCGGCGUGCUUUAGGCAUGCAAGUCGAACGGGAGCAGAAAUGCUUCAGUGGCAGACGGGUGAGUAACGCGUAGGAAUCUACCUCUAGGAGGGGAAUAGCCGAUCGAAAGAUCGGGUAAUACCCCAUAGCCUCAAGGUUUCACCUUGAGAAUUUCUAAUUUCAAAUUUCUAAUUUCUAAACAAUCUCAAAAUACAAAUGUUCAAAAACCUAAAAUUUUUUGGAUUUAAUAUUUUUGAAAAUUGGGAUUUGCUUCGAAUUUAGGGCUUCGGAUUUCGAAUUUUUCAAAGUGAAGCUUUGAGUAAAGGACUUAACGGUCCGCCAAGAGAGGAGCCUGCGUCCUAUCAGCUUGUUGGCGGGGUAAAAGCCCACCAAGGCAAUGACGGGUAGCUGGACUGAGAGGUCGAUCAGCCACAACUGCACUGAGACACGGGCAGUACACCUACGGGUGGCAGCAACCAGGAAUAUUGCGCAAUGGACGAAAGUCUGACGCAGCGACGCCGCGUGGAGGAAGAAGGCCUUAGGGUCGUAAACUCCUUUUGCCAAGUUGUUCACAGCUUGGAGAAUAAGCACCUACUAACUACGUGCCAGAAGUCUCGGUAAUACGUAGGGUGCAAGCGUUAUCCGGAUUCAUUGGGCGUAAAGUGUACGUAGGCGCCUUUUCAAGUCGUGUCUUAAAGACCGGGGCUUAACCUCGGAAGUGGAUGCGAUACUGUUUAGGUUGAGGAUUGUCAGGGGUGCUGGAACAGUUAGUGUAGCAGUGAAAUGCGUUGAUAUUAACUGGAACACCAAAGGCGAAGGCAGGCACCUGGGAUUUUCCUGACGCUGAUGUACGAAAGCUAGGGUAGCGAAACAGAUUAGAUACCUGUGUAGUCCUAGCCGUAAACGAUGUCCGCUAGCUCUUCCUUCCUUAGGUUGGAGGGGUGUAAGCUAACGCGUUAAGCGGACCGCCUGGGGAGUACGGCCGCAAGGCUAAAACUCAAAGGAAUUGACGGGGACCCGCACAACCGGUGGAGCGUGUGGUUCAAUUCGAGACAAAACGAAGAACCUCACCAAGGUUUGACAUGCAACUGGAAAUCCGAUGAAAGUCGGACCCCCUUCGAGGCUGUUGCACAGGUGCUGCAUGGCUGUCGUCAGCUCGUGCCGUGAGGUGUUCCCUUAAGUGGGGAAACGAGCGCAACCCCCAUCCAAUGUUAAAUAUUCAUUGGAAACGGUCCCGAUUAUAUCGGGAAGGAAGGAGGGGAAGACGUCAAGUCAGCACGGCCCUUAUACCUUGGGCUACACACACACUACAAUGGCGAAGAACAACGGGCUGCAAGUCGGUAACGGUAAGCGAAUCCCUAAAAUUUCGCCUCAGUUCAGAUUGAGGGCUGAAACUCGCCCUCAUGAAGUCGGAAUCGGUAGUAAUCGCGGAUCAGCAAGCCGCGGUGAAUACGUUCUCGGGUCUUGUACA